GAGCACGUAGGUGGGUUUGUAAGUCAGGUGUGAAAGCCUUCUGUUCAAAGGAAGAACGGCAUCUGAAACUGCGAAUCUUGAGUGUAGGAGGGGAGAGUGGAACUUCUGGUGGAGCGGUGAAAUGCGUAGAUAUCAGAAGGAACGUCGGCGGCGUAAGCGACUCUCUGGCCUAUUACUGACACUGAGUGUGCGAAAGUUAGGGGAGCAAACGGGAUUAGAUACCCCGGUAGUCCUAACCGUAAACGAUGGGCACUAAGUAGAGGG
rnacentral:rRNA from 1 species